rnacentral:lncRNA from 13 species
GUGUUUUGGGGGCCGGGCGCAGUGGCUCACACCUGUAAUCCCAGCACUUUGGGAGGCCGAGGCGGGUGGAUCACGAGGUCAAGAGAUGGAGACCAUCCUGGUCAACUUGGUGAAACCCCGUCUCUACUAAAAAUACAAAAAAUUAGCCUGGCAUGGUGGUGCGUGCCUGUAAUCCCAGCUACUCAGGAGGCUGAGGCAGGAGAAUUGCCUGAACCCAGGAGGCGGAGGUUGCAGUGAGCCAAGAUUGUGCCAUUGCACUCCAGCCUGGGUAACAAGAGCGAAACUCCGUCUCAAAAAUAAAUAAAUAAAUAUGUGUUUCUAUUUGUGUCUCUACAGAUACCUUUACUCUUGUUUUCUCUCCUGCAUCUUGGAAAACACCUCAAAUUGUAUGAGGAACAACUGACAAAUGAGAAACUGAGGCAAGGACGGCUUAUGUAAUUUUCUCCCAAGGUCCUACAACCAAGUUGUAGACACAUGAUUUAACUCCAGAGCCCUGGUCCUCACUGUACUGAAGGAUCUUUCUCUUCACUGAAAGGUCUUUGCCUCUGCUGUUCACUUGGCCCAAGCAUCCAUUCCCCAGCAUGUGUGUACUCAUCUGAAUGCAGCUGCUACCUGCUCAGUGAAGCUUCUCCUUCACCGAUGGCUUUCCAUUGCACGUUGCACAGUCAUUAUGACAAUGCUUAUCAGGUAAGCCAAGACCUGUGUCUCCCUCAUCCCGGUCUCCUUGCUUAGAACACCACGACCCACAUGCAUUCAGGAAACCAGUAUUUACCCAGAGCUGACUGUGGCCCUCUGCCAGACCUCCAGGAUAUAGCAGUG